ACCGCGAUAGCUCAAUUGGUACAGCAUCUGUCCGGUAGGUGGAGUGUCACCCGUUCGAUUCCGGAUCGCGGUG
rnacentral:tRNA from 1 species